UGCCAGCANHMGCGGUUACACAGCCACCCACAGUCUAAUCAAUUAGUAGGGAAUUGAGGUUAAAACAAGAUUGAUUACCGUACAAAGUGUAUAAUCUUUUUACCCUCUGCCUCAAGACAAACACAAAAGUUAAAUGUAGAACUAGGAUUAGAUACCCUAUUACUAUUAACCGUAACUGAAACCUACUAGGGAUAAAGUUAUUUUAAACCUAAAGAGCUUGGCGGCUUUCUAUACAACCAGGGGAGCUUGUCGCAUAAACGAUGAUCCGCGAAAAAUCCCACCUCUUUUAGAACAAACCAGCUUGUAUACCUCCGUCGUCGGUUAACCUUUAAGAGAGUUAGCUUUUUAAGACAAUCUUUUUGUCCACGUCAGGUCAAGGUGCAGCUAAUAAAGAGGAGCAGAUGAGCUACUUUUUUAAGAAUUUAAUGGAACCUAAACUGAUAUUUUUAGGAAAAAACGUACUUGGAAGUAAGUAAAGUUUAAAAUACUUCACUGAAUUUUUAUUUAGAAAGUGUACAAAUCGCCCGUCGAUUCCGCCCCUUUAGGUGGGAWAAGUCGUAACAHAGUA
rnacentral:rRNA from 1 species